UCCUAUUUACUAUAUCAGCAUACAGUUAAGAGGAUAUGAUACACAAUACAAAGGCAAGAAAAGUACGAACUGCGACUAAAUCACGAUGCAUGAUUAUACAAAGGCAGUAGCUCCUUUUUCGAGUAAAAGUUCGCACAGCUUAACUCGUUCUCCAGUUCUUGUUGUUUAAGUCUCAAACCACCAACCACUGAGCACAUAUCUCUAUCC
rnacentral:lncRNA from 1 species